rnacentral:rRNA from 1 species
AACGCUAGCUACAGGCUUAACACAUGCAAGUCGAGGGGAAACGACAUCGAAAGCUUGCUUUUGAUGGGCGUCGACCGGCGCACGGGUGAGUAACGCGUAUCCAACCUGCCCACCACUUGGGGAUAACCUUGCGAAAGUAAGACUAAUACCCAAUGAUAUCUCUAGAAGGCAUCAGAAAGAGAUUAAAGAUUUAUCGGUGAUGGAUGGGGAUGCGUCUGAUUAGCUUGUUGGCGGGGUAACGGCCCACCAAGGCUACGAUCAGUAGGGGUUCUGAGAGGAAGGUCCCCCACAUUGGAACUGAGACACGGUCCAAACUCCUACGGGAGGCAGCAGUGAGGAAUAUUGGUCAAUGGACGAGAGUCUGAACCAGCCAAGUAGCGUGCAGGAUGACGGCCCUAUGGGUUGUAAACUGCUUUUAUAAGGGAAUAAAGUGAGUCUCGUGAGACUUUUUGCAUGUACCUUAUGAAUAAGGACCGGCUAAUUCCGUGCCAGCAGCCGCGGUAAUACGGAAGGUCCGGGCGUUAUCCGGAUUUAUUGGGUUUAAAGGGAGCGUAGGCCGGAGAUUAAGCGUGUUGUGAAAUGUAGAUGCUCAACAUCUGCACUGCAGCGCGAACUGGUUUCCUUGAGUACGCACAAAGUGGGCGGAAUUCGUGGUGUAGCGGUGAAAUGCUUAGAUAUCACGAAGAACUCCGAUUG